rnacentral:rRNA from 1 species
AGUGGGGAAUUUUCCGCAAUGGGCGAAAGCCUGACGGAGCAAUACCGCGUGAGGGAAGAAGGCUCUUGGGUUGUAAACCUCUUUUAUCAGGGAAGAAGAUCUGACGGUACCUGAGGAAUCAGCAUCGGCUAACUCCGUGCCAGCAGCCGCGGUAAUACGGAGGAUGCAAGCGUUAUCCGGAAUUAUUGGGCGUAAAGCGUCCGCAGGUGGCUUUUCAAGUCUGCAGUUAAAGAUUGGAGCUUAACUCCAGGAAGGCAGUGGAAACUGAGAAGCUAGAGUCUGGUAGGGGUAGAGGGAAUUCCCAGUGUAGCGGUGAAAUGCGUAGAGAUUGGGAAGAACACCAGUGGCGAAGGCGCUCUACUGGACCAGAACUGACACUCAGGGACGAAAGCUAGGGGAGCGAAAGGGAUUAGAUACCCCUGAGUCCUAGCUGUAAACGAUGGAUACUAGGCGUAGCUUGUAUCGACCCAAGCUGUGCCGAAGCAAACGCGUUAAGUAUCCCGCCUGGGGAGUACGCACGCAAGUGUGAAACUCAAAGGAAUUGACGGGGGCCCGCACAAGCGGUGGAGUAUGUGGUUUAAUUCGAUGCAACGCGAAGAACCUUACCAGGACUUGACAUGCGGCGAAUCACCUUGAAAGAGGAGAGUGCCUAAGGGAACGCCGUAACAGGUGGUGCAUGGCUGUCGUCAGCUCGUGUCGUGAGAUGUUGGGUUAAGUCCCGCAACGAGCGCAACCCUCGUCCUUAGUUGCCAUCAUUAAGUUGGGGACUCUAGGGAGACUGCCGGUGACAAACCGGAGGAAGGUGGGGAUGACGUCAAGUCAGCAUGCCCCUUACGUUCUGGGCUACACACGUACUACAAUGAAAGGGACAAAGGGCAGCAAACUCGAGAGGGUAAGCGAAUCCCAUCAAACCCAGCCUCAGUUCAGAUUGCAGGCUGCAACUCGCCUGCAUGAAGGAGGAAUCGCUAGUAAUCGCAGGUCAGCAUACUGCGGUGAAUUCGUUCCCGGGCCUUGUACACACCGCCCGUCACACCAUGGAAGCUGACCAUGCCCGAAGUCGUUACCCUAACCGAAAGGAGGGGGAUGCCGAAGGCAGGGUUAGUGACUGGGGUGAAGUCGUAACAAGGUAGCCGUAC